rnacentral:misc_RNA from 1 species
UAUCCCCUUUUCUUAUUUAUUUAUGUAUAUUUCAUGGUUAUGCAAAUAAUAUAUUUGUAGUAUAUUUGGUUGUCUACCCUCUUUAAUGCACUGGUAUUUUGUUUCAUUUUAUUUUUAACAUGCUUUGGUUUAUGUUCUAAUCUAAGUAUUUUAAUGCCUGGGUUCUUACAAUUUGAACUUUAUGGGAUUAUAGAUAAGUCAAGGUUG